GAUGAACGCUGGCGGCGUGCUUAACACAUGCAAGUCGAACGGAAAGGCCUCUGCUUGCAGGGGUACUCGAGUGGCGAACGGGUGAGUAACACGUGGGUGAUCUGCCCUGCACUUCGGGAUAAGCCUGGGAAACUGGGUCUAAUACCGGAUAGGACCACAUUUUGGAUGGUGUGGUGGGAAGUUUUUUCGGUGUGGGAUGAGCUCGCGGCCUAUCAGCUUGUUGGUGGGGUAAUGGCCUACCAAGGCGUCGACGGGUAGCCGGCCUGAGAGGGUGUACGGCCACAUUGGGACUGAGAUACGGCCCAGACUCCUACGGGAGGCAGCAGUGGGGAAUAUUGCACAAUGGGCGCAAGCCUGAUGCAGCGACGCCGCGUGGGGGAUGACGGCCUUCGGGUUGUAAACUCCUUUCGCUAGGGACGAAGCGCAAGUGACGGU
rnacentral:rRNA from 1 species